GACGGGGGGGGGCAAGUGUUCUUCGGAAUGACUGGGCGUAAAGGGCACGUAGGCGGUGAAUCGGGUUGAAAGUGAAAGUCGCCAAAAAAGUGGCGGAAUGCUCUCGAAACCAAUUCACUUGAGUGAGACAGAGGAGAGUGGAAUUUCGUGUGUAGGGGGUGAAAUCCGUAGAUCUACGAAGGAACGCCAAAAGCGAAGGCAGCUCUCUGGGUCCCUACCGACGCUGGGGUGCGAAAGCAUGGGGGAGCGAACAGG
rnacentral:rRNA from 1 species